rnacentral:rRNA from 1 species
UACAGAGGUCUCGAGCGUUAGGCGGAAUCACUGGGCUUAAAGCGUGUGUAGGUGGAUCGUUAAGUACCUUGUGAAAUCCCACGGCUUAACCGUGGAACUGCUUGGUAUACUGGCGGUCUUGAGCCAGCUAGGGGCUACCGGAACGAAAUGGUGGAGCGGUGAAAUGCGUAGAUAUCUGGAGGAACACCGGUGGCGAAGGCGGCAUCCUGGACCGGUAUUGACGCUGAGGCGCGAAAGCCAGGGGAGCAAAGCGG